CUGCAGCAAGAGGAUCCUGAGCCUCCCCAAUAUGACCUUGCUCCUCCAGAGUACCACCCGGUACCACCACAAUAUGAUCUGGUGCCCCAGCCACCGCGUCACCCAGCACCACCACAAUACAAUCUAGUGCCCCCACCAUAUCAUUAAGUACCACUGCAGGGCCAUCCAAUCCAUCCUUAGCCCAGCCUAGUCCUUCAUCCACGGGACCCAGCUCCUCUCAUGAUGGACCUAGGAUACAUAGAAAUGUAUAAAAGGCUAAAUCCUUCUACUUUUACAAGGGGAN
rnacentral:lncRNA from 1 species